UACGAAGGGGGCUAGCGUUGUUCGGAUUUACUGGGCGUAAAGCGCACGUAGGCGGAUCGUUAAGUCGGGGGUGAAAUCCUGGAGCUCAACUCCAGAACUGCCUUCGAUACUGGGAGUCUCGAGUUCGGGAGAGGUGAGUGGAACUGCGAGUGUAGAGGUGAAAUCGUAGAUAUUCGCAAGAACACCAGUAGGCGAAGGCGGCACUGCGGCGU
rnacentral:rRNA from 1 species